CCUACGGGUGGCAGCCGUGAGGAAUAUUGGUCAAUGGACGAGAGUCUGAACCAGCCAAGUAGCGUGAAGGAUGACUGCCCUAUGGGUUGUAAACUUCUUUUAUAUGGGAAUAAAAUGUUACACGUGUGGGAUUUUGUAUGUACCAUAUGAAUAAGGCUCGGCUAACUCCGUGCCAGCAGCCGCGGUAAUACGGAGGUUCCGAGCGUUAUCCGGAUGUAUUGGGUUUAAAGGGAGCGUAGGUGGAUUGUUAAGUCAGUUGUGAAAGUUUGCGGCUCAACCGUAAAAUUGCAGUUGAAACUGGCAGUCUUGAGUACAGUAGAGGUGGGCGGAAGUCGUGGUGUAGCGGUGAAAUGCUUAGAUAUCACGAAGAACUCCGAUGGCGAAGGCAGUUCACUGGACUGCAACUGACACUGAGGCUCGAAAGUGUGGGUAUCAAACAGGAUUAGAGACCCGGGUAGUC
rnacentral:rRNA from 1 species